UGACCGACUAUCAGAGAGAGAGAGUAUGAGGGAGGGAAUCGGGAGGUCUCUGUUCUGAUGGAUUCAUAAUUCGUACAUAGGCGAAUAGAGAUAUAAGAUCUGGUGCAUGCGAGAGUAGUAUGUGAGUGGAAUUUUGGCCGUCAGAUUUGAUUGUUUCUGUUGAUGAUUACAUCGAAAAAUUUUGGAUUUUUUUUUUCUUUUGCCUUUUAAGGAAAAACUCUGAUGCAAGAUACUUCGUGCACACUGCACACGAACAAAUGGUGGGAGUCUACGUGGUAAAUAAUACGAUGCGUUUUAAGAGUUUUUCUAAAUCGGUGUGUUUCAUCAUUUGCCCGUUUCAUGCUGUGAGAAACUGAAAGUUUCAUCUCCCCUUCCCAGCUUCCUUCCUCACCCUCCUCCAUCUGAACGAAAGACACUGGCAAGAUAGAUGGUGACGUUCAGACACUGGCAAGAUAGAUGGGUAGUGCUCAUUCAUGUGUUGAGAUGUCCGCGUGUGCUAUUUCCUUUGUAGUCUUGGCAUAAUGAAUAUCUUCCUAUUCACCUCUGAGUUUGUAAACGAAGGGCAUCCCAAUAAGCUCUGUGAUAUUGCCUAGGGUGUCCGUGGCCAUCUCACCAAGCGGCCUGAAGAGAUUGGUGCUGGCGACCAGGGUCACAUGUUUGGACAUGCCAGAGAUAACACGCCGACGCAGAUGAUUGGCGAGGUGGAGGUUCUCUCCGAAAUGUGUGGUGUAGAAAAAUGCUAGACGUGAUCGACUACAGUGUCGCGAUGGAGAACUGCAAUUUCCCUCCUGGUUUCUUUUUCAUCUUUAUUCCGUAAUUGUAAUAAGCACAUGCAAUAUUGAGGCAAGUAGUGAAAUUUCAAAGCAGCAAACUGAAACACUAAUUUCAAUAUGUUUUUACAAGUUUCUUUUCCUCUUGGCAGGUAAUUGUAAUAAGCACAUGCAAUAGUGAGGCAAGUACCAAAAACAGAUCAAAGUCAGCAACUGUUUUGGGCUGACUAAUUAAUAUACAUGUACCAAAAACAGUUCUUGAGUUAUAUAUAUAUAUAUGCUGUAUGAUUCAUAAAACAAAAGUGCAUCAAUGGCCAG